rnacentral:rRNA from 1 species
AUUGAACGCUAGCGGGAUGCCUUACACAUGCAAGUCGAACGACGUGGCGAACGGGUGAGUAAUGUAUCGGAACGUGCCCAGUAGCGGGGGAUAGCUACGCGAACGCGUAGCUAAUACCGCAUCCUCUUGCCGCGGCCGAUAUCGGGUUAGCUAGUUGGUGGGGUAACGGCUCACCAAGGCGACGAUCCGUAGCUGGUUUGAGAGGACGACCAGCCACACUGGGACUGAGACACGGCCCAGACUCCUACGGGAGGCAGCAGUGGGGAAUUUUGGACAAUGGGGGAAAGCCUGAUCCAGCCAUCCCGCGUGUGUGAUGAAGGCCUUCGGGUUGUAAAGCACUUGUGGCAGGGAAGCGGUACCUGCAGAAUAAGCACCGGCUAACUACGUGCCAGCAGCCGCGGUAAUUC